CCGCUGAAAGCAUCUAAGUGGGAAACUCGCCCUAAGAUUAGAUCCCUGUAUUCCCGUAAGGGAGUAAGACCCCAGGUAGACUACCUGGUAUAUAGGCAGGAUGUGUAAGCGCAGCAAUGCGUUCAGCUAACCUGUACUAAUGGUCGAGGGCUUCAACCAU
rnacentral:rRNA from 1 species